UCCCACUAAACAUUUCACCAACAGCUUCAUUGAAAUAAUAGACAAAGACUUAAAUGUAAUGAACUACAGGACUUUCAGCAAGAGAAGCACUGAAAUGGCUGUAUACUUUCAUUAAUGAUGAAACUGGAAAGAUGUAAACACUGUAUUGACACGCCAACUUGCUUGAUUGUCCCACACAUGACUAUAGGAUGGAUUUUGGGGAGGACAUUUACUAUUUGUAGUGAGCAUGUGUACUGUUUAACAUGCUUAUCAUUUUAAAAAGGAAUGUCAUUUUUCUCAAAACAUCAUCAUUAGCAAUUUGUUAGCGUUUACAGUGCUAUCUCACAAAGCAGGUUAUUAUAUAGGCCGUACUCUGUUUGCAUUAUUGUUAAGAUGGUAAAAAAUAGCAUUUAGUUUUAUAUUUGAGUUUUUCCUGCAAACACACAUUUUCAAAAGCAUCAAUAGACAAGAAUGCGGCUAAAAACUAGCAAACACUAGGGGUCCUUAGUACUGAGUCUGAAAACCCCUUUAACAGUCCAUUCAAAUUCCAAUCUUCUCUCACACUCGUUUCAAAAUGGAGCAGGGCUAAAAGGCUGCCCUUCAGCUAUGAAGGUUUUAGACACACAUGAAGAUGCAGGGGGGAAGGAUGGAACCAUUGACCCUCAUUUAUUGUGAAAGCGCUCACAGCCAGGUUCCCCGCUCCCAGGUUCUCAUGAAUACCAUGAAGCCAUUAACUCCACCCACCGGAAUGCUUAUUCUGCGAGUGUGAGGUUGUUCGGUCUCAGUUACCACGCCAAUGUGCGUUCACUCGACAGAGGAUGACUGACCCAACGCACCUUGCUGAAUUCACACAUAUCCACAGCAUGUUAAUGUACUUCCUAUUUCCUCAAACGCACCUCCUACGCUCAGUUAACAUAUCGCGGUCAUAGUCACUUUUGUGCUUCGGGAGCCAAAAUGUGUGCUGCUUUAUAUUUUCACUUUAACCAAUUCAGACCCAAGAAACCAGGCAAGGUCACCUCCUGUGGACAGCGAUGUGCCUGGCUAGUGUCAUCUGGAUCUACACAGCCUUUUCCAGCCUGACCGCUCCUGUUCUCCCGACCGCUGAGGGUCUCCCAACCUUAUCCAGCCCUUCCUCCAGAUUCAUUAACAAAACAGUUUACUCAGUCAGACUGUGUAAUAUCAACUGUAUUAAUGGUGAAGCUGAUUGUGGACUUGAUUGCCUGAUGAUGUGCGCCUGUGUACACCUGACAGCCAAGUGGAUAAAGUCUGAAGCCAGUUUGAAACAGCUUUUAGAGACUCCUAUUGAGACUUGUUUCUUUGUGUUUUUACCAUUUGCAGCUACCAUGUUUUGUUUUCAGUUUACGGAAAGCCCAGAAAAUCCAACAAAUGCAUUAUAAAUGAAAAAACAUUUCUCAGGUUUAUUGUACCCAAUAAAGA